GGUGGCUUAGUGGUAGAGUGCUUGCCUCACAUGCAUGAGGUCCUAGGUUGGAUUCCUUAGCACCA
rnacentral:tRNA from 1 species